AUUGAACGCUGGCGGCAGGCCUAACACAUGCAAGUCGAACGAGUGGCGGACGGGGGAGUAAUGUCUGGGAAACUGCCUGAUGGCGGGGGAUAACGACUGGAAACGGUAGCUAAAACCGCAUACCAUCAGAUGUGCUCAGAUGGGAUUAGCUAGUUGGUGGGGUAACGGGUCCCCAAGGCGACGAUCCCUAGCUGGUCUGCGAGGAUGACCAGCCACACUGGAACUGUGCCACUGUCCAUACUCCGACGGGAGGCAGCAGUGGGGAAUAUUGCACAAUGGGCGCAAGCCGGAUGCAGCCAUGCCGCGUGUAUGAAGAAGGCCUUCGGGUUGUAAAGUACUUUCAGCGGGGAGGCGUUACCCGCAGAAGAAGCACCGGCUAACUCCGUGCCAGCAGCCGCGGUAAUUC
rnacentral:rRNA from 1 species